GACGAACGCUGGCGGCGUGCCUAAUACAUGCAAGCCGAACGAAGCUGUUUUAACUGGUGCUUGCACCGACUUAAACAACUGAGUGACGAACGGGUGAGUAACACGUGGGUAACCUGCCCCAAAGCGGGGGAUAACAUUUGGAAACAGAUGCUAAUACCGCAUAACCACAGAAACCACAUGGUUUCUGUGUCAAAGAUGGUUUCGGCUAUCACUUUGGGAUGGACCCGCGGCGUAUUAGCUAGUUGGUAAGGUAAUGGCUUACCAAGGCAAUGAUACGUAGCCGAACUGAGAGGUUGAUCGGCCACAUUGGGACUGAGACACGGCCCAAACUCCUACGGGAGGCAGCAGUAGGGAAUCUUCCACAAUGGACGAAAGUCUGAUGGAGCAGCGCCGCGUGAGUGAAGAAGGUUUUCGGAUCGUAAAACUCUGUUGUCAGAGAAGAACGUGUGCGAGAGUAACCGUUCGUGCAGUGACGGUAUCUGGCCAGAAAGCCACGGCUAACUACGUGCCAGCCGCCGCAGUAA
rnacentral:rRNA from 1 species